AAACCAACAGGGAUUGCCUCAGUAACGGCGAGUGAAGCGGCAAAAGCUCAAAUUUGAAAUCCCCCCGGGGAGUUGUAAUUUGAAGAUUGCGUCUUGGAGGCGCCCGUGUCUAUGUUCCUUGGAACAGGACGUCACAGAGGGUGAGAAUCCCGUGCGGCACGGCCCCCGGCUCCUUAUAAGGCGCUCUCGACGAGUCGAGUUGUUUGGGAAUGCAGCUCAAAGUGGGUGGUAAAUUCCAUCUAAAGCUAAAUACAGGCGAGAGACCGAUAGCGAACAAGUACAGUGAUGGAAAGAUGAAAAGCACUUUGAAAAGAGAGUGAAACAGCACGUGAAAUUGUUGAAAGGGAAGGGCAUGCCGUCAGAUUGUCAGUGUGGGUAAGAAGCGGGGUACAAAGACUGUGGAACGUGGCCCUCGGGUGUUAUAGCCGCAGUUCAUGCCCCGUCUCUUUCCGAGGCCUGCUUUGAGGACACCGACGUAAUGACGGUACGCCGC
rnacentral:rRNA from 1 species